GCCGGUUUAGCUCAGGGGCAGAGCAACCGCCUUGUAAGCGGUAGGUCGUCCGUUCGAUUCGGACAGCCGGCACCA
rnacentral:tRNA from 1 species